CCUACGGGCGGCUGCAGUGAGGAAUAUUGGUCAAUGGGCGGGAGCCUGAACCAGCCAAGUCGCGUGAGGGAAGACGGUCCUACGGUUUGUAAACCUCUUUUGCCGGGGAGCAACGGGGUCCUUGCGAGGGCCCGAUGAGAGUACCCGGAGAAAAAGCAUCGGCUAACUCCGUGCCAGCAGCCGCUGUAAUACGGAGGAUGCGAGCGUUAUCCGGAUUUAUUGGGGUUAAAGGGUGCGUAGGCGUGCUGUUAAGUCGGCGGUAAAAUGUCGGGGCGCAACCCCGGACUGCCGUUGAAACUGGCGGACUCGAGUGUGCGUGAAGUAGGCGGAAUGCGUGGUGUAGCGGUGAAAUGCAUAGAUAUCACGCAGAACUCCGAUUGCGAAGGCAGCAUACCGGCGCCCAACUGACGCUGAGGCACGAAAGCGUGGGUAUCGAACAGGAUUAGAUACCCUAGUAGUC
rnacentral:rRNA from 1 species